GGAUGGGUAAGCUCAGUGGUUAGAGCUUAGUCCUUCUGACCGGAAGGUCCUGGGAUCGAAUCUCAUCAGAGGCA
rnacentral:tRNA from 1 species